AGUGAACGCUGGCGGUAGGCCUAACACAUGCAAGUCGAACGGCAGCACAGUAAGAGCUUGCUCUUACGGGUGGCGAGUGGCGGACGGGUGAGGAAUACAUCGGAAUCUACUUUUUCGUGGGGGAUAACGUAGGGAGACUUACGCUAAUACCGCAUACGACCUACGGGUGAAAGCAGGGGAUCUUCGGACCUUGCGCGAUUGAAUGAGCCGAUGUCGGAUUAGCUAGUUGGCGGGGUAAAGGCCCACCAAGGCGACGAUCCGUAACUGGUCUGAGAGGAUGAUCAGCCACACUGGAACUGAGACACGGUCCAGACUCCUACGGGAGGCAGCAGUGGGGAAUAUUGGACAAUGGGCGCAAGCCUGAUCCAGCCAUACCGCGUGGGUGAAGAAGGCCUUCGGGUUGUAAAGCCCUUUUGUUGGGAAAGAAAAGCAGCAGGUUAAUACCCCGCUGUUCUGACGGUACCCAAAGAAUAAGCACCGGCUAACUUCGUG
rnacentral:rRNA from 1 species